AGUGAACGCUGGCGGUAGGCCUAACACAUGCAAGUCGAACGGCAGCACAGUAAGAGCUUGCUCUUACGGGUGGCGAGUGGCGGACGGGUGAGGAAUACAUCGGAAUCUACUUUUUCGUGGGGGAUAACGUAGGGAAACUUACGCUAAUACCGCAUACGACCUACGGGUGAAAGCAGGGGAUCUUCGGACCUUGCGCGAUUGAAUGAGCCGAUGUCGGAUUAGGUAGUUGGCGGGGUAAAGGCCCACCAAGGCGACGAUCCGUAGCUGGUCUGAGAGGAUGAUCAGCCACACUGGAACUGAGACACGGUCCAGACUCCUACGGGAGGCAGCAGUGGGGAAUAUUGGACAAUGGGCGCAAGCCUGAUCCAGCCAUACCGAGUGGGUGAAGAAGGCCUUCGGGUUGUAAAGCCCUUUUGUUGGGAAAGAAAAGCAGCAGGUUAAUACCCCGCUGUUCUGACGGUACCCAAAGAAUAAGCACCGGCUAACUUCGUG
rnacentral:rRNA from 1 species